CGUCCCCUUCUUUAGAGAGAGAAGAGUGCGGACUUGGAGACACAAAAAGAGGUGAAAGCAGAGGAAUAGCUGUCGUUCCAACCACAUCAGAAGACUGCUGUAAGAAGGGGUUCUCGGGAACAAGGCCUAGAUGCAGAGCCGUGGGUGCUUGCUUCUGCAGUCUAGUGGGUGAUCUCGGGGACUCACUUUUCCCAAACAUGUUCACACUGUUCUCCAUCACGAUUCAGACUCAACGAUUAAGGGAAUGAGCAUAAAAGCAAAAACGAGAGAAGGAAAGAGGAAGAUGGAAAGAGUGAUGUAAAGAGGAGAUUAAAAGGGAGAGAGGUUUUGGUGUGUUGUCAAUGAGGGCGCAAAAGUAGCGUUCGGUUAUGGUGGAACAUGUGGAAGACAUAGGAAAGAGCUGUUACUUUGAAACGGUCAUUAACUAAACUAAAAAAAAGUUGCCUCCUUUGUUGUUGGCUUGUUGCUUUCUUCUUUUGGUUCUUCUACUUUCUCUACUCUAUACAUUAUGUUGUUGGCUUCGGUUACUUGCGCUUAGGAUCCUUUGGAUAAAAGGCCAAAAUUAAGGUCAACGUCUUUUAAGAUAGUUUUCGUUUGUUG